rnacentral:rRNA from 1 species
GAUGAACGCUAGCGAUAGGCUUAACACAUGCAAGUCGAGGGGCAGCGAGGGUAGCAAUACCUGUCGGCGACCGGCGCACGGGUGAGUAACGCGUAUGUAACCUGCCCGCAACAGGGGGAUAACCCGGCGAAAGUCGGACUAAUACCGCAUAAAACAGGGGUCCCGCAUGGGAAUAUUUGUUAAAGAUUUAUCGGUUGCGGAUGGGCAUGCGUACCAUUAGGUAGUUGGUGAGGUAACGGCUCACCAAGCCUUCGAUGGUUAGGGGUUCUGAGAGGAAGGUCCCCCACACUGGUACUGAGACACGGACCAGACUCCUACGGGAGGCAGCAGUGAGGAAUAUUGGUCAAUGGGCGAGAGCCUGAACCAGCCAAGUCGCGUGAAGGAUGACUGCCCUAUGGGUUGUAAACUUCUUUUACAAGGGAAUAAAAUGAGAUACGUGUAUUUUAUUGAAUGUACCUUGGGAAUAAGCAUCGGCUAACUCCGUG